UACGGAGGGGGCUAGCGUUGUUCGGAAUUAUUGGGCGUAAAGCGCACGUAGGCGGCUUUGUAAGUUAGAGGUGAAAGCCCAGGGCUUAACCCUGGAAUUGCCUUUAAGACUGCAUCGCUAGAAUCGUGGAGAGGUGAGUGGAAUUCCGAGUGUAGAGGUGAAAUUCGUAGAUAUUCGGAAGAACACCAGUGGCGAAGGCGACUCACUGGACACGUAUUGACGCUGAGGUGCGAAAGCGUGGGGAGCAAACAGG
rnacentral:rRNA from 1 species